CUGACCUCAAGUGAUCUGCCUGCCUUGGCCUCCCAAAGUGCUGGGAUUACAGUUGUGAGCCACCGCACCCAGCCUGCUCUGCAUUAAAUGAUGAUAUAGCUGUGAGCUGCCUGUUAAAACCGAGAGUAAAGAUUGGGCUGGGUGUUUCCAUUCACAGUUGCUUAUGCCUCACUCUUCACGCAGAACGCCUCCAUCACCACCUGUUGCACUGUCCUGAUGCUUGUGCUCCCCUUCAAGAGGCAGAAGGAACAAAUCUGGGAUGGCUGGCUCACUGUGGCCUGCUGUUCACUGGUGACCACCCUAGUGGCCUUGGCGAACCUGGCUGGCAUGGCGCUGACCAUCACCAUUCAGAGGGACUGGAUCGUGAGCUGACGGGUGACAACAGAGGCCGGCUGGUUGGUGAGUGGUACCGCCCCGGGUACUGAUCGUCUGAUCAGCUGAGAAGUAGAGAGCUGACAAGGCAAUCAGGGCUCUGAGAGAGGCUGACAACAGGCUUUAAGAACAUGUUAUUUGGAGUCAACGAGACCUGGGUUUGAGUUUGAAUUCAGCUAAAACCAGCUGUGCCUCUUACUAGAUGCAUACUCCAGGGCAAGUUACGUGACUUUCCUCAACUGUAGAAUGAGGGAAAUAAAGUCACAUACACACACA
rnacentral:lncRNA from 1 species